AUCAGUUCUUCGCAAUGGCGAGGGUACUUUUUCUGGACCAACUGCUGGGUUGAUGCUGGGUUCGAGCUGACCGAACACCCUACAAUUUGAUUAUUAAUGCAGAUCAGUAUGGAGCAGGGCUUGAUUGGAAACCUAUUUGGAAGUGGUGUGGACCGAAUCGGCUAUGUCAUUUCCUUUUGUUGACUGCUCAUGGGCGUUGGAUGACGAACUUUGAGCGAUGUCGUCGACCUCUUACCACGGUGGAGGACUGUCAACGAUGUCUGUCAAUUUUGGAGGCUAUCGCUCAUACUCUCCGCGAUUGUAAAUUUGUUGCAGAGAUUUGGGAACUUCUUGGCUUUCCGUUUGAGCAUGUGACGAAGUGGAAUAAACCGUAUUGAGGAAGUGGGUUGGCACUUUGGUCCGACCGGAUGGAUGGUUCUCAAUACUGAUGGAUCUGUGCUGGAUGGUGGGAGUCGAGCCUCUGCGGGUGGUCUUAUUCGCGAUGAAAUCGGCCGUUGUUUUUAUGCUUUCACCAUCAAUCUUGGCACCUGCUCGAUCACCCGAGCCGAGAUGUUGCGCAUCUGGGAUUCCGUCCGAGUUCUGGCCUUCUUAGAUUCCCAAGCUGCUAUUGAUUUGUUUACUCAAUGAGCGAUAUUUCUCAUAAUAACCAAGCGGAAGUGUUGGAUUUCCCCCGAAAUUCAGGGUCGUGAUUGGAUUAUUGAGCUUCGAAAUUCAUACGAAGAAGCUAACCAAGCGGCAGAUAACUUGGCCAGUAGGGGCAUGGCUCUUCCUUGUGGUUUUCACUCGAUCCCUGUUUCAAAUUCUAGAAGGACUCGGAACUACUGUGUUUAUAAAAUGGACAUGCAUGGUAAGUUCUGAAAAAGGUGACAAGAUUCAGCAGAGUAAAGAGUUUCAGAAUCAGAACUCAGAAGUCAGAGCUCUGGGGGCAUGUGAUUCUUCUGCCAACGCCACAGUGUCCUCCAGGACCUGGGACCUCGGUAAAAAAAGAAGAAUUGAAAGCUACCUGUCCAAUGAAUUUAAUGUGUUGAAUAAUUUACUAGUCUCACAAACCUCCAGUAUACAACAAUAUGGUACACAGUACAACAAAAGUGUUUCUGUUGCUUUCUUUCUUUAUUUAUUUUAUUUUUGGUUUUACUGCCGUACACAUAAUUUCACCCCAUUUAGUUGAUAGAUCGCACGGCCCCUCCCAUUGUCAUGUGAUCGUAAGCUAAACUCAUCUAAUCGGUCUAACUUAAUACAUGCCACUCAAUUAAAUCGAUCCAAAUAUCUUCUAACGCAACCCAUUUAGUUUUUGUACAAGGUAGAAAAUUAACGUGAUUGGGCGGUGAGUGUCCCCACAAGGUUACUCUAUCAGCUUGGUUGCUCAUGAUGUAUAUGAUUACAACCUGAAUAUGAAUACAUAUAAUGUUCUUUUUUUAUAUAUAUAUCUCGUCCUAAUAACUAAAUUGGUUCAAGAUUGAUAUGUAAAGAUGUAAAUUGAUUAUGGAGUGACCAAACUUAAUACAAUGAUCAAUUUUGAAACACAAAACAUUUGUGGAGUUGAGAAAGUGAAAAGACUUGGUCAACAAGCCAAUUUGAAAUGAAACAACUUGGUCAACAAACCAAAUUUUCACGUCAGACAAAAAGUAAACCAAGGGAUUCCACCUAAAUAUGGAUGGGUUCAAGAUCAACCCUCCACUCCAUAUAUUGAAUCCCUCUCAAAUCACAACACCAAAAUCCCAGCACAUUCAAAGUUAAAAUCAAAGGCUUCCCAAUACAAAUCUCAAACCAGCCUUUAACCAAUUCUUAGGUAGCAAGUAAAAUGGGAGGAACAGAAGAGACGGAGAAGAAGUACGACGGUGGCGAAGAGGAAGAACACCACAAGAAGAAGAAGGACAAGGAUCAUGAGGAGCAGUCCGGGGAGAAAUCCAAGGAGAAGAAGGACAAGAAGAAGAAAGACAAAGAAGGUAAGAAUAAGGAGGGUGAUGAUGACGGCCACAAGGAGAAGAAGAAGAAGAACCCUGAAGACAAGAAUGACCCUGCUAAACUCAAGGCUAAACUGCAGAAGAUCGAAACCCAGAUGCAGGAAUUGACCCUGAAGAAAGAAGACAUCCUUAAACGAAUCCACGAAGCUGAAUCUAACCCUCCUCCCCCGUCCGAGUAAAUAACAUGUUAUUCUGGUAACGAACGAUUACCGAAAUAAACAUAUUUAGUUCUAUGGAGAUCAGUGUUCUGUAUGUACUGUAUAACACUGAACCUUUAAAUAAAGAUGAUGUAUUUAUUGUACAUGUUGUUCAACUGUUAAGUUAUACUGUGAUUGAAUAACUACGGACAAAAGUGCAUUAGCAAUCAAUACAGCUAGCUAGCAAGAAAAGUUGUUGAAGAGCGACUGAGGAAACCAGAGACUUAAUAACAAGAGAUUCUGAAAUCAAUUAUUACAGUGAGGAUCGAGGAAAGACUUUUACCUGUUGACGGCUAUUGAGUAUUGAGACGGCCACGACGGAGAU
rnacentral:lncRNA from 1 species